GCGGAUGUGGUGGAAUUGGCAGACACACUAUCUUGAGGGGGUAGCGGUCCACGGCCGUGCGGGUUCAAAUCCCGCCAUCCGCACCA
rnacentral:tRNA from 1 species